UAACGAAUCUUCCGCAAUGCACGAAAGUGUGACGGAGCGACGCCGCGUGUGGGAUGAAGUCCUUCGGGAUGUAAACCACUGUCAGGGGUUAGAAAGUUCUGAUCAACCCCAGAGGAAGAGGCGGCUAACUCUGUGCCAGCAGCCGCGGUAAUACAGAGGCCUCGAGCGUUAGGCGGAAUCACUGGGCUUAAAGCGUGUGUAGGCGGAUCGUUAAGUGCCUUGUGAAAUCCCACGGCUUAACCGUGGAACUGCUUGGCAUACUGGCGGUCUUGAGCCACUUAGGGGCGACCGGAACAAACGGUGGAGCGGUGAAAUGCGUAGAUAUCGUUUGGAACGCCAAAGGUGAAAACAGGUCGCUAGGAGUGUGCUGACGCUGAGACACGAAAGCCAGGGGAGCAAACGGGAUUAGAUACCCCCGUAGUCC
rnacentral:rRNA from 1 species